UACGAAGGGGGCGAGCGUUGUUCGGAUUUACUGGGCGUAAAGGGCGCGCAGGCGGCUCAUUUUGUCAGGCGUGAAAGCCCCGGGCUUAACCUGGGAACUGCGUUUGAUACGGAUGGGCUAGAGUUCGGGAGAGGGACGCGGAAUUCCAGGUGUAGCGGUGAAAUGCGUAGAUAUCUGGAGGAACACCGGUGGCGAAGGCGGCGUCCUGGACCAACACUGACACUGAUGAGCGAAAGCCAGGGGAGCAAACGGG
rnacentral:rRNA from 1 species